UACCAAGUAGUCUAAAGUAUACAGCCU
rnacentral:piRNA from 1 species